GAUGAACGCUGGCGGCGUGCCUAAUACAUGCAAGUCGAGCGAACGGACGAGAAGCUUGCUUCUCUGAUGUUAGCGGCGGACGGGUGAGUAACACGUGGAUAACCUACCUAUAAGACUGGGAUAACUUCGGGAAACCGUAGCUAAUACCGGAUAAUAUUUUGAACCGCAUGGUUCAAAAGUGAAAGACGGUCUUGCUGUCACUUAUAGAUGGAUCCGCGCUGCAUUAGCUAGUUGGUAAGGUAACGGCUUACCAAGGCAACGAUGCAUAGCCGACCUGAGAGGGUGAUCGGCCACACUGGAACUGAGACACGGUCCAGACUCCUACGGGAGGCAGCAGUAGGGAAUCUUCCGCAAUGGGCGAAAGCCUGACGGAGCAACGCCGCGUGAGUGAUGAAGGUCUUCGGAGCGUAAAAAUCUGUUAUUAGGGAAGAACAUAUGUGUAAGUAACUGUGCACAUCUUGACGGUACCUAAUCAGAAAGCCACGGCUAACUACGUG
rnacentral:rRNA from 1 species